AAUUUUGGACAAUGGGGGAAACCCUGAUCCAGCCAUCCCGCGUGUAUGAUGAAGGCCUUCGGGUUGUAAAGUACUUUUGGCAGAGAAGAAAAGGUACCUCCUAAUACGAGGUACUGCUGCCGGUUGCUACUGAAUAAGCACCGGCUAACUACGUGCCAGCAACCGCGGUAAUACGUAGGGUGCAAGCGUUAAUCGGAAUUACUGGGCGUAAUGCGUGUGUAGGCGGUUCGGAAAGAAAGAUGUAAAAUACCAGGGCUCAACCUUGGAGCUGCAGUUUUAACUGCCGAGCUAGAGUAUGUCAGAGGGGGGUAGAAUUCCACGUGUAGCAGUGAAAUGCGUAGAUAUGUGGAGGAAUACCGAUGGCGAAGGCAGCCCCCUGGGAUAAUACUGACGCUCAGACACGAAAGCGUGGGGAGCAAACA
rnacentral:rRNA from 1 species